rnacentral:rRNA from 1 species
CCUACGGGAGGCUGUAGUGGGGAAUAUUGCGCAAUGGGCGAAAGCCUGACGCAGCGACGCCGCGUGAGGGAUGAAGGUCUUCGGAUCGUACACCUCUGUCAGCAGGGAAGAACGGUCACUGUGCUAAUCAGCAGUGAAUUGACGGUACCUGCAAAGGAAGCACCGGCUAACUCCGUGCCAGCAGCCGCGGUAAUACGGAGGGUGCGAGCGUUAAUCGGAAUUACUGGGCGUAAGGCGCUCGUAGGCGGUAUGUCAAGUCAAGGGUGAAAUCCCCGCGCUCAACGUGGGAACUGCCUUUGAAACUGGCAAACUGGAGUGUGUGAGAGGAUAGUGGAAUGCCAGGUGUAGGAGUGAAAUCCGUAGAUAUCUGGAGGAACAUCAGUGGCGAAGGCGACUAUCUGGCACAUAACUGACGCUGAGGAGCGAAAGCGUGGGUAGCAAACAGGAUUAGAUACCCUAGUAGUC